AGGCUUAACACAUGCAAGUCGAGGGGUAACAGGGGGUGCUUGCACUCCGCUGACGACCGGCGCACGGGUGCGUAACGCGUAUGCAACCUACCUUUUACAGGGGGAUAGUCAAGAGAAAUUUUGAAUAAUACCCCAUACGAUCCUAAGUACACCUGUACUUAGGAGGAAAGUUUCGGCGGUAAAAGAUGGGCAUGCGUCCUAUUAGUUAGUUGGUGAGGUAACGGCUCACCAAGGCGACGAUAGGUAGGGGUCCUGAGAGGGAGAUCCCCCACACUGGUACUGAGACACGGACCAGACUCCUACGGGAGGCAGCAGUGAGGAAUAUUGGACAAUGGAGGCAACUCUGAUCCAGCCAUGCCGCGUGCAGGAAGACGGCCCUAUGGGUUGUAAACUGCUUUUAUACAGGAAGAAACGUAGGUACGUGUACCUAUUUGACGGUACUGUAUGAAUAAGGAUCG
rnacentral:rRNA from 1 species